rnacentral:rRNA from 1 species
UACGUAGGGCGCAAGCGUUGUCCGGAAUUAUUGGGCGUAAAGAGCUCGUAGGCGGCUUGUCACGUCGAUUGUGAAAGCCCGGGGCUUAACUCCGGGUCUGCAGUCGAUACGGGCUAGCUAGAGUGUGGUAGGGGAGAUCGGAAUUCCUGGUGUAGCGGUGAAAUGCGCAGAUAUCAGGAGGAACACCGGUGGCGAAGGCGGAUCUCUGGGCCGAUACUGACGCUGAGGAGCGAAAGCGUGGGGAGCGAACAGG